rnacentral:rRNA from 1 species
UACAGAGGGGGCAAGCGUUAUUCGGAAUUAUUGGGCGUAAAGGGCGCGUAGGCGGCCUGGCAAGUGGAAGGUGAAAUCCCUCGGCUUAACCGAGGAACUGCCCUCCAAACUGCUUGGCUUGAGUCCGGGAGAGGUGAGUGGAAUUCCCAGUGUAGCGGUGAAAUGCGUAGAUAUCGGGAAGAACACCAGUGGCGAAGGCGGCCGACUGGACGGCACCUGACGCUGAGGCGCGAAAGUGUGGGGAGCAAACGGG